GAUGAACGCUGGCGGCGUGCCUAAUACAUGCAAGUCGAGCGAACGGACGAGAAGCUUGCUUCUCUGAUGUUAGCGGCGGACGGGUGAGUAACACGUGGAUAACCUACCUAUAAGACUGGGAUAACUUCGGGAAACCGGAGCUAAUACCGGAUGAUAUUUUGAACCGCAUGGUUCAAAAGUGAAAGACGGUCUUGCUGUCACUUAUAGAUGGAUCCGCGCUGCAUUAGCUAGUUGGUAAGGUAACGGCUUACCAAGGCAACGAUGCAUAGCCGACCUGAGAGGGUGAUCGGCCACCCUGGAGCUGAGACACGGUCCAGACUCCUACGGGAGGCAGCAGUAGGGAAUCUUCCGCAAUGGGCGAAAGCCUGACGGAGCAACGCCGCGUGAGUGAUGAAGGUCUUCGGAUCGUAAAACUCUGUUAUUAGGGAAGAACAUAUGUGUAAGUAACUGUGCACAUCUUGACGGUACCUAAUCAGAAAGCCACGGCUAACUACGUG
rnacentral:rRNA from 1 species